rnacentral:rRNA from 1 species
AACGAACGCUGGCGGCAUGCCUAACACAUGCAAGUCGAACGAGACCUUCGGGUCUAGUGGCGCACGGGUGCGUAACGCGUGGGAACCUGCCCUUAGGUUCGGAAUAACUCCCCGAAAGGGGUGCUAAUACCGGAUAAUGUCUUCGGACCAAAGAUUUAUCGCCUUUGGAUGGGCCCGCGUUGGAUUAGCUAGUUGGUAGGGUAAAAGCCUACCAAGGCGACGAUCCAUAGCUGGUCUGAGAGGAUGAUCAGCCACACUGGGACUGAGACACGGCCCAGACUCCUACGGGGGGAGGAAGGGGGGAUUAGUGAAGAAUGGGCGAAGUUCGGACCCCUCUAUCCCGCGUGAGAAAAAAAGGCGUAGGGGUUGAAAAGCCUUCUUCCCGGGCAGUAAAAUGAGAGGCGCGGAGAAUAAGGCGCGCACUCGCUCCAUC